UACGGAGGGUGCAAGCGUUAUCCGGAUUCACUGGGUUUAAAGGGUGCGUAGGAGGGCAGGUAAGUCAGUGGUGAAAUCUCCAAGCUUAACUUGGAACUGCCGUUGAUACUAUCUGUCUUGAAUAUUGUGGAGGUGAGCGGAAUAUGUCAUGUAGCGGUGAAAUGCUUAGAUAUGACAUAGAACACCAAUUGCGAAGGCAGUUCACUACUCAAUCAUUGACUCUGAGGCACGAAAGCGUGGGGAUCAAACAGG
rnacentral:rRNA from 1 species